ensembl:lncRNA
CUCCACGAGGCAGGAACUAAUAUUGUUACCAUCCUCGUUUUACAGAUGAGGAACCCGAGGUUCCGAAGAACGUGGCGGUGACCAGAUCUUGUUCUGGACAGAAAGUUGGUCGUGUGGUCCAUGGCGGGGUCAGCUUGGGGCAAAGUCUGGAUGCCAAUUCCCAUGGCUGCGAUGACGGCCAACAUCCUGUUCAGAGUGAGCUCAGUUGCCUCAAGGGUUGGAGGAUUCUUUUUUUUUUUUUUUUUUAAUAUAUGAAAUUUAUUGUCAAAUUGGUUUCCAUACAACACCCAGUGCUCAUCCCAAAAGGUGCCCUCCUCAAUAAGGGGUUGGAGGAUUCUAAGGGAGGAAACAGUAACCCCUGGUUUUAGAAAUGGGUGGACACAAUCUUCAGCCGCGGGACUAGAAAUUAUAAAUUCCAUUUACUUAAUCUUUCAAAGCAAGCUCAAGGGCAUUAAGAAUCACUUUACAAUGAUCUCUUUGGUAUUUACGAUAUCCCUAAAAGGUAACAAAGCUGCUUUAUCUCAUAUUUACAUCCAAGCAGAGCUAGGGAGCAGGGGACAAGGCCUUCCCACCGUGAUUGAGAGCGAUGCUGUCCGGCUCCAAAUCCCCGCGCCGCUCUGACACGAGGCUGCGUAUAAGGCAGCUUCUCACUGUCCUUCCAUUUCUCGUUUUACCUCAUUUGGUUAAACCGCACAAGCUCAGUGCUUGGAACUUCCGUUUUCUUAUCUUGAACAUCAUGUGCUGUUCCAGCUCCAGCCAGCCACCCAGGAAGGAAGCAUCCUGUUCCUUUUAAACAGAGGGCCCGGCCGGCCACAUGGCCACGCUGUUGACAAGCUCUGUAAGUAACAUUAUCUCCAUUGCCUUGAAAAGAUCUAUCAGAACUGGAAAGCGCACAGAGUUGGAGUUUAAUAGUUAUUUCUGGUCUGCUUAUCUCGCAAUCAAAUAUGAAAAAGAAAGCCAGAGGCAUGAGAGGGAGGCAUUUGCGACAAAGGCCAAAUUCCAAGGAGAAGCAAGCGAGGAAAGAAAACAGUUAAAUUUCUUGGACAAUAUGACUGUUCCUGUAUUUGCCCAUCGGCUUGAUGUGUUUCAAACCUGUGAUAUCUGAGAUCUUUGUUUCCUUCUUUUGUAUUCUCCAUCACAUGGAGCUAGCCUGCAAGCACUUCUGAGAUGCCCACUGUGUAUACCCUUCACCGUGCCCUUCCACGCCCGACGUCCUGCCCAUUCUCAUUUGACCAACGGUCAGCACUGCUCGCCACAAUCCUGUCAAAGCAGACAAAUUAAACAUGCCAGGUGACAUAUGGAAGAAAAGACUUUCUGAUUUACUAUGGAACUGUUUAUGGAUAAGAGUUAUUUCUCUUGGCCUGGUACCUGCUCUCAAGGCUUGAUCACAUUUCAAGGCACUGCUGCCAUUUACUCGAAUUAUUCCGGGUCCUCAGAUGUUUGUGUGCACAUGGCUGUCUGGGUGCGUGCGCAUCUGAACAUGGUCCAAAUCCUGCAGCGAGGUUGUUGAUUGCAAAGUGCAAAUGAAGGGAAAUUUAAGUCUUCCUCCAGUCCUCACUUCCCCCACGUGGUGGUUUUAAGCAUCAGGAGGGCUACCUCGGUAGGGAAAAGGACUUAGGGUCACAUCUCAAUGAAAAAAUAAAUAAAUCUUUAGUUUAGCGUGGACA